UACGAAGGGGGCUAGCGUUGCUCGGAAUUACUGGGCGUAAAGCGCACGUAGGCGGCUCUUUAAGUCGGGGGUGAAAUCCUGGAGCUCAACUCCAGAACUGCCUUCGAUACUGUAGAGCUUGAGUUCGGGAGAGGUGAGUGGAACUGCGAGUGUAGAGGUGAAAUUCGUAGAUAUUCGCAAGAACACCAGUGGCGAAGGCGGCUCACUGGCCCGAUACUGACGCUCAGGUGCGAAAGCGUGGGGAGCAAACAGG
rnacentral:rRNA from 1 species